rnacentral:rRNA from 1 species
GACCUCGGAUCAGACGUG